rnacentral:tRNA from 1 species
GGGGCUAUAGCGCAGUUGGUAGCGCGCUUCCAUGGCAUGGAAGAGGUCGGGGGUUCGAUUCCCCCUAGCUCCACCA